rnacentral:rRNA from 1 species
UGGGGAAUAUUGGACAAUGGGCGCAAGCCUGAUCCAGCCAUGCCGCGUGAGUGAUGAAGGCCCUAGGGUUGUAAAGCUCUUUCACCGGUGAAGAUAAUGACGGUAACCGGAGAAGAAGCCCCGGCUAACUUCGUGCCAGCAGCCGCGGUAAUACGAAGGGGGCUAGCGUUGUUCGGAUUUACUGGGCGUAAAGCGCACGUAGGCGGACUAUUAAGUCAGGGGUGAAAUCCCGGGGCUCAACCCCGGAACUGCCUUUGAUACUGGUAGUCUGGAGUUCGAGAGAGGUGAGUGGAAUUCCGAGUGUAGAGGUGAAAUUCGUAGAUAUUCGGAGGAACACCAGUGGCGAAGGCGGCUCACUGGCUCGAUACUGACGCUGGGGUGCGAAAGCGUGGGGAGCAAACAGG